ACCGGGGAAACCGGGAUUAAUACCGCAUAAAAUCGUAGAAACACAUGUUUCAACGGUCAAAGAUUUAUCGGUCAUAGAUGGGCUCGCGUCUGAUUAGCUAGUUGGUGAGAUAACAGCCCACCAAGGCGACGAUCAGUAGCCGGUCUGAGAGGAUGAACGGCCACAUUGGAACUGAGACGCGGUCCAA
rnacentral:rRNA from 1 species